rnacentral:rRNA from 1 species
CCUGAUCCAGCCAUGCCGCGUGAAGGAAUAAGGUCCUAUGGGUGCUGGAAACUUCUUUUGACGCAGAGCAAUAAGGGACACGCGUGUUCCGAUGAGAGUAUGCGUCGAAUAAGCAUCGGCUAACUCCGUGCCAGCAGCCGCGGUAAUACGGAGGAUGCGAGCGUUAUCCGGAUUUAUUGGGUUUAAAGGGUGCGUAGGCUGUUGGAUAAGUCAGCGGUGAAAUCACCACGCUUAACGUGUUGUGUGCCGUCGAAACUGUCUGGCUUGAAUGCGCUCGUCGUGAGAGGAAUGUGUGGUGUAGCGGUGAAAUGCAUAGAUAUCACACAGAACACCGAUUGCGAAGGCAUCUCACGAGGGCGCUAUUGACGCUGAUGCACGAAAGCGCGGGUAUCGAACAGGAUUAGAUACCCUGGUAGUCCGCGCUGUAAACGAUGAUGACUAACCGUUGGGUCUGGUAUGGAUCAGUGGUCAGCGAAAGCGUUAAGUCAUCCACCUGGGGAGUACGGGCGCAAGGCUGAAACUCAAAGGAAUUGACGGGG